rnacentral:rRNA from 1 species
AGGACGAACGCUGGCGGCGUGCUUAACACAUGCAAGUCGAGCGGAAAGGCCCUUCGGGGUACUCGAGCGGCGAACGGGUGAGUAACACGUGAGCAACCUGCCCUUAGCUCCGGGAUAGCUCCGGGAAACCGGAAUUAAUACCGGAUAUGACCUAGGCCGACAUCGGCUGUGGUGGAAAGUUUUUCGGCUGGGGAUGGACUCGCGGCCUAUCAGCUUGUUGGUGGGGUAAUGGCCUACCAAGGCGACGACGGGUAGCCGGCCUGAGAGGGCGACCGGCCACACUGGGACUGAGACACGGCCCAGACUCCUACGGGAGGCAGCAGUGGGGAAUCUUGCGCAAUGGGCGAAAGGCCUGACGCAGCGACGCCGCGUGGGGGAUGAAGGCCUUCGGGUUGUAAACCCCUUUCAGCAGGGACGAAGCGAAGUGACGGUACCUGCAGAAGAAGCGCCGGCUAACUACGUGCCAGCAGCCGC